CAGUCGCCGCGGGAAUACAGAGGGUGCGAGCGUUAAUCGGAUUUACUGGGCGUAAAGCGUGCGUAGGCGGCUGAUUAAGUCGGAUGUGAAAUCCCUGAGCUUAACUUAGGAAUUGCAUUCGAUACUGGUCAGCUAGAGUAUGGGAGAGGAUGGUAGAAUUCCAGGUGUAGCGGUGAAAUGCGUUGAGAUCUGGAGGAAUACCGAUGGCGAAGGCAGCCAUCUGGCCUAAUACUGACGCUGAGGUACGAAAGCAUGGGGAGCAAACAGGAUUAGAUACCCCCGUAGUCCCUGUCUCUUAUAC
rnacentral:rRNA from 1 species